GCCAGCAUAGUGUAGUGGUUUGAGCACUGGACUAUGACUCUGGAGACCAGAGUUCGAAUCUCAGCUUGGCC
rnacentral:tRNA from 1 species